UCCGGUUUAACACCGGCAGUCUCCAUAGAGUGCCCAACUGAAUGAUGGCAACUAGGGAUAAGGGUUGCGCUCGUUAAGGGACUUAACCCGACAUCUCACGAUACGAGCUGACGACAGCCAUGCAGCACCUGUCUCCUUGCCUCCGAAGAGGAAGCGGUGCUUCUACCGCGGUCAAGGGAUGUCAAAUCUAGGUAAGGUUCUUCGCGUAGCAUCGAAUUAAACCACAUGCUCCACCGCUUGUGCGGGCCCCCGUCAAUUCCUUUGAGUUUUAAUCUUGCGACCGUACUUCCCAGGCGGGGUACUUAACGCGUUAGCUGCAGCACUAAGGGGCGGAAACCCCCUAACACUUAGCACUCAUCGUUUACGGCGUGGACUAC
rnacentral:misc_RNA from 1 species